GGUAGCAACAUCUGGAAUUAAAGCUCUAAUUUCUAUAAUUGAAACAGAAAAAUUUCACCAUAAAAGUUUCCCCAACUCUCUGUUUAAACAAAAAUAGCCUCAAAAUUUUGGAUUGUAAUAAUUGUACAACCAUUCCUACACACUUAUGCCCACCAAAUAGUUAUAUUUGCUCUGUGAUGAAGUAAAUGAAAUCAUAAUUGCCCGGCUGAUAAAUUUUCAAACUGCAGAAUUAACUCUCCCUUAUUCAACAGAAUAUCAUGUUAGUAAAGCAAAAGUGCAAUCCAUAAUCACUGAUAACUUUUCUUUUUGUUGCUGUCCUCCGGUGGCAAUGAUAAAAACUGCAAGAUAAGCUGCACCCGUGCAACUUCAAGUUGAAACUUCUCGGCAAUCUGGUGAACGUCCAUCGGCCCAUUGUGAUCAUCAGCUUUGCCUUGACGCAGAAGCAUGAUGUGACGCAGCUGUGCCACAUUCAGAGUUCCUUGAGGAGCAGGUCUUUCUUCAUACCUGCCAGAAUCAGGUUUUGUAUUCCGCAGCUUUGGCAUUGGCCUAUUAUACCUUUCUCCCACUGCUGCCUGUUAACAUAGUCAACAGCUUCUUUUCAGAUGAUUUAAAGAGUGAAAGAUGAAGGCACCAUUCACUUGGAUAAAGCCUCACAUGGUCAGGUGUAGGUUCCAAUGACAUCAGGUGGAAUCUCACUAAUUGAAGAUGUCACGGUUAGCAAUCAUGAGAUGCUAACAUGUUCUUAGAGGUGCAGCUUUAUCCAAGUGCAGCAUAGAGAUUUGGCUUAAAAGCAACCUCGUACACCAAUCAAAAGUUUAAAUAGGCAAUAUCUUUGUCGUAUUAAAUGCAUGACUUUGUAUCUCUUGCAUUUCUUAGGUAGAACUCAUGAAAUUUUUUCUUAAUUCAAUGCCCACCGGGCUGCAUAAUGAUGGACUCAAUACUAUAAGUCAAAAUUUAGCCAAUGACUUUGUCUCUAGCAUAUUCAGCAUCAACAAAAUUACAGUGCUUAUUAAUGAUUGCACUUACUAAUCAGGAGUACUAAUCAGGAGUUGAAUAAAAGCGAAGUAAACAAGCACUGCAAAUUCCAAUAGCUCACCUCACCAAUCUCAAGUUUCCCUCCAGGCUUUGAUCUAAUUCUACGCACCAUUUGACUAAGCAUUGCAUCAAAUUGUGGAUCUCGUUCUUCAAGGACAUCGUCAUCAUUAAUUCUUGGAGUACCAUCUUACCCAGAGCAUAAACGAAGCAUCAAUUUUGAAAAAAUUUGAAGUUAGUAAUCCCCUUCUUUAUAAGAGUUGCAUACACAUAUAUUAGUCACAUUAAAAAGAAAAACUAGAAUUUAUAUUUACUUGCUCAACUUCUCACACAAGCACACAGUCAUUUUUAAUAGGGGAAAUUACAAAAAAGUACCCCAUGAUUUCACCCAUUUUUUACUUCAAGAUCUGUGGUUCAUUUUGUAACAAAAUGGUACCCUGAGGUUUGCACUAUUAGCAAAGGACGACUUUCCAUUCUCUCUCCAUUAAAAGAUGCUGAUGUGAAACAAAAAGAUGCUGAUGUGAAACAGAAAGAUGCUGAUGUGAAAAAAAAAUCUGCUAACGUGAAAUUAAAAAAAGAAAAGUGAAAAUUAUAAAAAUGUAUCAUGUGAUUUCGCUCAUUUUCACUUUAAAGUCAGAGAUUUACUUUGUGACAAAGUGGUACCUUGUGAUAAUGCUCUAUCAGUAAACACAACAUUUUGUCUCACGCUGUUAAUUUUCGUUGAUGUGGCAUUGAAAUAGUAUUUUUAAUUAUUUUUAAUAGAAAAAAUAAUUCACAUACUGUUAAGAUGCAAGAAAGAGAUUUUAUUCCCUUUAGGCAUGGUAAUUUCGUAAGUGAGGUAUACUGAUAUUGAGUUUUGUAUGAAAACUUUGACUUUCAGAAUCACUAUCAAUAGAUUUUUAAACCUGAAGUUUAUAACUUCAAUUUUAGAAUCACUAUCAACAAUUUGAACUAACUAGAUUAAACCGGUGCUCUUAGCUGACUAGCCACUUGUUCCUCCCUUCUAUAAGAUGGUUGAUACAUUUUCUCACUUUGAGCAUAGCUUCCAUCAGCACUGUCUUGAGAAAUUCAUAGCUAAAGCUGCCCCUCGAACUCCCUACUACUCUUAGACAUUGUGUCAAAUUCUUCUGGCCUAGACUUGGCCAUCAGAAAAUACUAAAACUAGCAAAUUGAGUUUUUCAAAAAGAAAAUACGUAAAAUUUUCCAUUGUAUUCCGAAAAUGAAAGAUAUCAGAUUAUGAAUGUUUCCAGGAGUUAAAUAAUUUACUUGAUUGAUUUGAUAACGGCCCAAAAUCUCAGGGUACUAUUUUAUCACACAAUGAACCAAGGACUCUAAAAUAAAAAUGAGCGGAAGCACAAGAUACUUUUUGAUAAUUUUUACUUUUUUCUUCCAUGUCAGCACCUUUUAACAAGAAAAGAUGAAAAGUCAUCGUUUACUAACAGUGUAAAAAUUGAGGAUACCACUUUAUUACAAAGAAAACCAUAUACACUGAAAUGAAAAUAGAUUAAAUCACAUAGUAUUUUUUUUGUAAUUUCCCUUAAUUUAAUUAUCAGAAAAUGUCCCUUAAAUAUCGAAGUAAGAAACUGCAUAGUAAUGUUUUAAAGUUAUCCAUAGAUAAAUAGCUUCGAAAAAACAAUCCUCAAAUAAGAUUAUCAAAGGAAAAUUUGUUAAACUGUGAAUAAUUCAACAAUAAACAACCAUCUUCGGCCAAAAAGUUUUUGAUAGCACCAAUAUUUGUUAAAUUAAACUUUUUAGAUUUCAAUUUAGUUAUUUUUAUAAUUUUAUGUAUUAUAAAGUCUUUUUAAUUUAAUUAUUUAAAUUUAAACAUCCAUUCUACGCUAUAUUUUCUCUAAAUCCUUAUGAAUAGGAAAGAAAACCACUUUCUUUUUUAAUCUACUACUCAUCUUGACAUGCUCAUCUAGGGUGUGCAAUCGAUCAAUACAAUUUCACGCCAAAUUGAACCAACCAAAAACUAAAUUUUAAAAUUAUGAUAACCAAACCAAAUUAAAGUAUAAAGAAAAUUAAAUCAAACCAAAUUGAAAAUUUUUCGAUUUGGUUUAAUUCGAUUUUGAGUUUUGCCAUUCUCUCAUCUGAGUUACAAUCUACAGCGAUUGGGUCACAUUUCUCACCCAUUUGAUAUUUAUAAGCAAUCAACAAUAACCCAUCAAACAAAAUAAUUUUGAUCCACAAACAAAAUCCCCACCAAACAAAACCAUAAAAAAUCCAAACAAUUAAACAAUCAACAAAAUAAACUAUAAGAAAUUAGAUCCAGUAAAGUAUAAGAAAUUUAACCAUCAACAUUGUCAAAUUUUCAAAACCAACCAUGCAAUAUAAACAAAGUACCAAACCCAACGACUAACAACAGAGACGAGGCAUGGAGCACGGCGAGGCGAGGUGCGACUUGUGAGGAAGAAUCGGCCAAAUAAUCAACCAAAGGAAAGUAAGGAAGAAUCAAACAGUCAACCAAAAUGAGAAGCGAGCCGUCAUUCCUUCAAAGAGGCCUUCAAGCUUUUCUAAUCACUAAAGGGUGUGAGAUCAAUCUCCAUGCGUCUCUUCCCCUUACUCACCCUCUUACAAAUUCCAACAAAGUAAACAUCCAAGUUAAUAUAUAAUUUUGAAAUGAAAAAGGUUGGUUCUAUACAAAAAUAUAAUGAUCAAACUUAUCUUGGUGAAUAGAAAAACAAUUUAUGCUACGUUUGGCAGGCAGUAAUGCAAUGUAAGACAAUCAAAUUUUCUAUUAAAUAUCCAUCGAAAAUUUGAUUGUGUUAUAUUGCAUCACAGUCUACCAAACAUAGCCUAGGUCCAUACAAUUCUUUUUGCGUAGCAUAUGAUUAAUGUCUACAUAACUUUUUCCCAUUGCAACUGAAAUAAGCCUAUCAAUUGAGCACCAGAAAAUAAAAAAACAAAAGGAGGAGAGAGAGAAGAAAAAUCAAGCAUCUUGCUUUAACAUGUCAAGUGAUGCAAAAGCAAAGUUCAUUUAGAAUAUCACUUGUGGAAACAAGUCCCACAUUUGCAGUGUACAAGAAAAUUAAAGGAUAUAUAAGCAUUGGCAAACCAAACCAAACCAAAAUGGCAGGGAAGCCCAAUUCAACGUGUAGCCUACCAGCUUAAUAUUCACAUUCUGGGGUCCAUAAUUCUCAACAGCUCAAAAUGUUUUUGAAGUUACUGUUCACAUUGCUGUUCAAGCUAUUGAAGUAGUUUCAAAAUAGGAUUACUUGUCAUUUGCUAAUGUUUUGAUUAUGCUAUUUUGGAUCUCUAAGAUUAGACUUUAUUCAGAAGAGUUGAGACCUAAUUAUUUUAGGAUUUCACUUUCAAGAGUUUAUUGUACAAGUGACACCCAAUAGGCACAUUGGUUCCCUAAAUUUCCUUUUUUAUUUUAUUUUUUUGGUUUUUAAGUUAAAGUAUAGUAAUUUAGGAAAUUUUGGUGUAACUUCCUAUUUUAGACUUUCCUAUAUGAGAAGAGAAAAUCUAUUUUCCUAACAGUUUCAGUUUUUAACCAAAAAAAAAAAAAGAUUCCAAUAAUGACUAAGAAAGAAUGUAGAUAAUUGCAUAGAAAUGAAAGGAACAAGAAAAGGUACUAACUGUGAUUAAUAUGUUGGAGAUACUAAGAGUGGUGCAAGGUGAAAUUAAACAAAUUGGUAGAGUUCUACAAAAUUAAUAGUUAUCGAACACUCGUACCUACUCCCAUAUGAAUUAGAAUGCAAGCAUGCAGUACAAGUGGAAUUUCCCAAGAAGAGUUUCUCACACUGAACUUAAAUGGAACCAGGACAUAUGCACUUGUUAAAGAUGGAUUGAGAACUUACAGCUAUUGCCAUGAGUUCUUCUAGCAGUUCCUCUAAAUGCCGUAGAGGCCAUUGUGUUGGACCAUCCACAGGGGCAUUCAAAGGAUCAUCAUGAACCUAAGCACCCAAAAGUAGCUAUUAGAAACCACAAUUACAAGAAAUCUUAGAAUCACACUCUAGCUAAAAAAAGGACCCAUAAAACAAAAAGAUAUAUACUGCAUACAAAUAACUUGCAGGCAAUACUGGAGAAUGAAAAACUUUGCUGGACAAUUCCUUCCUACAAAACUUUGCUGGACAAUUCCUUCCUACCAGUGAACUUUGCUAUCCAGUAUUCACUAACUAGAAAAGGGGUAUUAGGAGGUAACUUCAAAUACCUACCUUCAGCAUGAUGUAAAUAUAAUAUCGUGACAUUUAAUUACUAUAAUUGAUCACUUUCAGCAGAUUCACCAUACCUCCAUGAAAAUUCCAUCCACCCCAACAGCAACUGAUGUCCUUGCAAUGCAAGGUAUUAAUUCACGGAGACCUCCACUAGCAACACCUCCACCAUCCAACUUUCUCCCAGCAGGCUGUUGUAGUGAAUGUGUCACAUCAGCUACAACAGGACAAGCAGCUUCUCUCAUCCACUCAAAAUUACGUGAAUCAACAAUCAAAUCAUUAUAGCCAAACAUAGUUCCUCGUUCACAAACCAUCACAUUUGAAUUUCCAGCCAAUCUAACCUUCUCAGCUGAGUUUAUCAUGACAGAAGGAGCACAGAACUGGCCUUUUUUAAUAUUGAUAAUUUUCCCUGUCUUUGCAGCUGCAACUAGGAGAUCUGUCUGACGACAUAAAAAUGCUGGAAUCUGUAUGAUAUCUGCAACUCUGCCAACUGGUUCACACUGAAUAGUUUCAUGCACAUCAGUAACAAUGGGAAUAUCAUAUGCUAUUUUGACCUUUUCAAGAAUCUUCAAGCCUUCACUCAUGCCUGGACCUCGAAAUGACUUUGAAGAUGUUCUGUUAGCUUUGUCAAAGCUUGACUUAAAAACCAAUGGCAAUCCAAGUUUUGAUGUAAUAGUCUUAAGGUGGUUGGCCAUUCUGAGAAUGUGUUCCUCAGAUUCAAUCACAUUGGGGCCUGCUAAUAAGAAAAAUGGCUCCGCUGCCUUAAGAUUGUUAAAUAGCAAUGUUGAAUCCAUCUCCUCCAGUUAGCCAAAAGCCAAAGAUUUGUGCAACUGCAUAUAUAAAUCAUAUAAUUUAUCGAGUAAAUUAACUUAUAAUCAACAGAAGCAAGUGUAACUGCAAGCGAGUGAUUGAUUGACCGACCCAACAAUGCACCAAAUUAUCAUAAUCCAUACCCAGGCAUAAUUAAUGCAGAUAUACCACAAUGCGGGAUCCAUAUUCAAAAUUUCAAAUCGUUACUGCCAAUUCUAUAAAUUUAACAAGAGAACUUCAACUGAAAAUACAAACAAGAAAGAGAAAUAUCAGUUGCCUUCUUUUCUGAAUCAGAUCCAGUUCCCUUUUGACACUUAACUGCUGCCAAAAUGCAACUACUGCCCAAAUCAAUAUAUGGCGUUUUGGUAUUAGAUGAACCUCUAAAUUUGGGUAAGAUCGACUCCUGAAAUUCGAGUCGUCUCUGUAAGUUGUCACUGAGACUAGCAAAAUUAUCCAAGAAGGACCAAACUUAUCUUUAACUUACAAUGACGAGAGAGAUGAGAAAUCCCCAAAUGCACAAGCUCAAAGCCUCAACAAAGCGUUUAUAAUUAAAUUGAAAGGAGAGUGACAGAGUGGCACCUUAAACCGCCAGGAAUUCAAACUGUCGCCGUCGCCCGGAGUUUGAGGGAAAGGAGUGAAAUAAAAAAGUGCG
rnacentral:misc_RNA from 1 species